rnacentral:lncRNA from 1 species
UUAUUUUUAUCGCCAUUGAAAAAGGAAAAACUAAAGUUCAGAAAACUCUAAGUAUAUAGUAAGCCAAGAUUCAAGCUGAGGAUUUACAACAAAUAACCCUGCCUUUUAACCACCACACUUGACCUCUCAGCACAGCAGCAGCAGUGUCUCUCAAAUAUGGUCUGAGGAUCCCUGCUUCAAAAGCACUGAGGCUGGUUUACUAAAAUGCAGAUUCUGGGGCCUUACCCCUUGUAUACUGACAUGGAACCUCUGGGAUGGGGGGCCCAGGACUCUGGAUUUUUAUUGAGCUCUCUGGCAACUCUCCUGCUCACUAACAUUUGCAAACAAAGACUGAUGGAUUAAGAUUUGGCCUCCAGUGAGGAUCUUCCCAGAUUGCUAAAUCAUGUUCAACUCUUUGUGACCCCAUGGACUACAGCACUCCAGGCUCCCCUGUCCUUCACUAUUUCCUGGAGUUUGCUCAGAUUCGUGUCCAUUGAGUUGGUGAUGCUAUCUAACCAUAGCUUCCCACAACAUUUAGUGGGAAACCUGGCCAGAGAGCUGGUCUUGGCUUGGGCAGGACUGGAGCCCAGAGCCCAGAGCUGGGGGAUCCAGACUGAUGCCAGAUCCUUCCCCAGAAGCAGGGUGCCUGUGCUUUGACCUGCUUCUGCAGACAGUGAAGAUAAAAGGGAACCUACACAUCAAGGGAAGAACUUCCAACCAGAGUCCCCUCUGUAACCAGGGCAGAGCCUUGGGAGGCAACAGGAAAGAAACCCUAAGGCUGGACCCGGCAGCCAUCUGUGCAGAAGAGUUGGGCCAGCGAACACCCAGAAGGACCAGAUGCCGGCCUGCGGGGACCUCUCCAGACUGUGGCUCCUGAGCUGGCACCCCUCUGGUUCAGGGCUCCUCAGCCCCAGCACAGUGCCUGAUGUUUAGCACAGCUCACUCAGUAAUUGACAAGGCCUGAAAUUCACAUUUUUAGUCCAACACCAUUUUCUAUGAGUCACGUGAAAAAUGUUGAUGGAGGUCCAGAGAUAACAAAAUAAGAGACAAUCAGGGUGAAUAAGUCCUCAGACCACGGAAUUUAGGUUCUGUUUCCCUGGAGGCUUGCAUGGUAAAGAAUCUGCAUGCAGUGCAGAUUCCUGGGUUCCAUCCUUGGGUCAUUGACAUCCCCUGGAAAAGGGAAUGGCUACCCGCUCCAGUAUUCUGGAAAAUUCCAUGGACAGAAUAGGAGCCUGGUGGGCUACAGUCCAUGGGAUUGCAAAGAGUCAGACAUGACUGAGUGACUAGCACUUUCACUUUUCACUUUUUCUCCCACUUGAUGAGCUCUGCAACCUUACAGAUAAGAAGGUUGCCCGUGAUGGGUCCUACCUGAGUCCAUGAAGAGGUGGUCUUUCACAAUCCUGCCUGCACAGAGUAUAUGUUCAAUAAAUGUGGGUUCUUGAUAUUUUUUAAUUGAGACAUAAACCAUAUAAAAUUUUGUAUAAAAUAAAAUACUUAGAUCUUAAGUAUUCCAUUUGAUGAGUUUUGGCAAUAUAAACCUGUAUAGAUAUUGUAUAAAUCUGCCUAGCUAUCAAGGUCUAGACAUGAAGCAUUUCCAAUCAUCCCUGAAAGUUCCCUCAUAACCCUUUCCAGUUGAUCUCUGCCUCCCUGCUCACAGAGGCAACUAUUUUCUGAUUUCCAUCAUCGUAGAUGAGCUUUGUCCAUUCGAGUACUUCACAUAAAGGGAAGCAUACAGUAUGUUCCCUGGACUCAUUUUUCUAUAUCUGUUACUGUUGUUGUUGUUCAGGAUAAUGUUUUUGAAACUCAUCCGUG